ACAUAGAGCUAGACGAGAAAAAGAGAUAACGAUAAAUAUAAAAUUUAUUAAAAAAAUUCUACUUGCUCAUUGGCAGACGUUCCAACUUAAACACGUAAAGUAAAAUAAUGCUAUAUGCAUAAUAUUAAAAUCUGUUUGGACCUAUGGAAUCCAACCAUGGGGAACAACAAGUAAUUCCAACAUAGAAAUUCUUCAACGAUUCCAAUCGAAAACUCUAAGAUCCUUAACACGUUGACUGCCACGACACCCGUAUUCGGGUGUCAGCAAAGUUUCUGGUCGGGCCACGUAACCCAUAUUCGGGUGUCGCUUAUUUGAUUACUUGCGAAGGAUCGUCGUAAAUAUUUGAAAAAAUAUUCCAUAAUAAUA
rnacentral:misc_RNA from 1 species